rnacentral:lncRNA from 1 species
UGCUAGGGCCUCGAACAAGUAUCUGUUGAAUUCAGGGUUCUUGGAGUUAUUGCACACUUGAUUGAGAAUACCAGCCAGAAGAGCAGUUGUGUCACGAAUAGUUUGGCCUGCUAUAGUAGCAAUCCCAAGCACCUGUGCCAUGCACUUCAUCAGGUAUGGGUUGUCAUAAGUUUCAGCAGGUUCGAAAUGACCUCAGCAGCAAACAGAUCAAUACUAUUAGCAUCAUAACGUUGAGAACUGGCCACUUGGUUGACCCCUGGUGCUUGGACCGUAUCCUUCAUCAUCAACUGCUUAUCAGUAAAGACCGCAGCAUAGGAUCGAACAACAUGGGAUUCGUGUGCGAGGAACUUUCACCGUCUUUUGAAGCAGGAUCUGUGCAUUUUGUUUGGGUAUUUGAUCAUUGAACUCCUUUAAGAACCACAAGGCGGUUGAUUUCAGAAUUUUAUGGGACUGACAACUGGUGUAGUCAAGCAUAAGCUCAAUGUCACAAAGAAAAUCGACAUUUGUGCCAAGAUCACCAACAACAGCAAUAACAUCGUAAAUUGCAGCAAUUGCUUCCUUCUAGUGGUUUGUCUUGUCAUUUUUAUAUUCCAUCAUCAUCUUACCAUAACAUGUCUUCGCCCAUGCACACACCCUCUGAUUGUAAUUCACCUUAAGGCUCUCCAAUAGCUGGCAUGCAGCUCAUCUUGGUGCAUUAGCAACAGCCCAUUCUGAAACAGCUUUUCAUCUUCGUCCCGUAACAGCAGGUUGGACAUGAUGACACCAUCACAUAUCCGAUCCAUUUUACUCCCUACAGACGCAUGGUGCGCACUCUUGGGGUAGUCAAGAACCUUAAUGCUGCCACCGCGAGCUGUUCACAGGAUGGCGAGGCUCUUUGCGCCCUGAGAAGGCCCACCACAGCCUCAACGGACUCUUCCAGCUUCUCCAGCUUCAAGUAUCCCUUAACCAACGCCUCAUGCUUUUCCAUAUAAAGCUUCGGAGAAAUCGGAGGCGGCGAUGGUGGCCAGGGCUUCGGAGAUCUCGACCUGGACGGUGGGCGGGGCGGCGAGGAGGUGGUCCAGGAUCGCCUCCUUGAUGAUGCGACAUUCCAUCUUGGGGGAGGUGGUCGCCGUUGGCAGAGGGGACGGCGACUGUGGCGGCGGCGGACGAGGAGGAUGCGAGGAAGAAGAGACCCAACGCGUAGUCUGGGUGCCUGAAUUGGUUCCCAGAAAAUAGCAGUAACAAUUGGCCAUAUUUUGCUACUUAAACAUUCAGGGUGUCAGUUGCAUAUAAUUCUACAGCUAAGGAGAGGUGAUAGCUGAUACACAUCAAUAGUAAAUAUCUUUCUCCAAGCGAGAAGAAACACUCAAGAUGUAAAACUAAAUAAACCGAGGGCGCUCACACACUAAAGAUAGUUUGGUAUCCAGCAUCUCAGGAAUAUUGUUAUCUUCAUAGUCAUGAAUAAUCUUAGCAAGCUCAACAUCUCUGCCAGGAUCAAAAUAAAUAAAGUCUGACACCAGCAAGCCUUUCAAAACAUCCUUAUAUGCCCUCACAGCGGAGCGGUAUAAAUUGAUGGAGCCAUUAAAAUCACGGGAAUGACCAGAGGGUGGAUGCAAAAUCUUGUUUCCUUCGUCCUCACAAAAGGAGCAACGACCUGUUUUCAAAGCCAAAAAUAGGAAGACGUCAGAAAUUGGGGAUUCUAGUGCCAAAAAGAUUCAUAUGGAGAAAAAGAAUCAGCAACUACAGAACCAGUAGCUAGCUCUCCUUCUCUCUUCAGAAUAUUUAGGUUAUUUCAUCUAACAAGGAGUUUCCUCACUGUUACGCCAUGGCAGUUAUGGUUCCUAGGCCUGGGUAAAAACACACUGCAGCAAACUAACCGCGCCACACUAAAAUUUGCAGUUGUUUCGGUGGUCCGUGUUCAGUGUGGUGGUGAACUUGCUGGCUGCUUGCAUUGGUGUUAAGUGUGGUGAUAGGUCCCAGAAACCAAAGCACUGAAAUCACCAAACAUAAUUCGCAGGCAGCCCCUCCUGGCCAACAGCCUAUUCCCCUCGUGCAGUUUCAAGAGCACAGAACUAAUCCGACAGGGCGUCGCUAUCCUAUCCCCACUCCCCAGUCCAACCAGACAUGAGCAUGGGCUAGUGCCGUGAUGAGUGCAUAUGCUUCCACGGAUGCAGGCGGCCAUGGUGAGUGCAUGAGCCUCCAUGGACGUGGGCAGCCAUACUGAGCGGCGAGCGGGCGGCCGCUACCAGUGUGCUAGCCUGACGUGGGUGUUAGGGCUACUGUGGCCAGCUCACAGGUUCAGAGAGCGGGAAUGCAAGGCAGCCAAAGGCGUGCGCACAGGCCUCUGUGCUGACCUUGUGUCUUCCUUGUAGCCUAAGGCAUGCGCACAAGCCUUCAUGAUGAGCUUGUGUCUUCUUCAGUUCCCUCUCUAAACUUCUUCAUCUGCGUCUUUUAUUCAUUUUAUUCUCAAUAUUUUUUUAACGUGAAUUUUAUUCUCAAUAUUCCUUAGCAUCUGCUGCUUGUUCAGUGGAAAACCAAACACCUCACCAAAAUAAACCGAAUCCGAAGUGUGAGGUUCCUGUGUUUCUGGCGACAACUUCGGUGAACAGAUUCCGUAAACUGAAAUAUUUGUCCACUUAAAAACCCAAACCUAAGAAACCAAAAUAACCAUGCCCAGGGCUAACGCUUCCUAAUCCAUGCGAUCAUUACCCAAGUGGGUGUUCACCAUGCUCUUUCUUUUCCCAUAGUAAUGCGCGCCAUGUUAAGAAAACCGUUACUGCAAUAAGGUUGAUUAGUUGUAGGAACAAGGGCUCACCAAUGCAUGCACUGUAAUCAUAUAUAGGGCAGCAGCUAGAUGGCUUCGAUUGAACAUCUUCACGAGAAGGUGACACCCAGAAUUCAGCGAAGAAGAGUGUGUGCUCAUGGGAUGAUCCAAUAGCAUCAUUUAUAGUCGCCAAAAAGUUGGCAUGAUAGAAAUUUGGGUGAAAUGGAGAACUGGAUGCUGUCACUCCACAGAUAAUGUCAAGCUGGUAACUUGGUUCCUGCAGUAAGCAUGAAUAUUCUUAAAUAUUUCAGCAGCCUGGUGGAAGUAGGGAACUUAAUUCAUACAUAAGGUCAAGUCGAGUGUCAACAUGGAUGACUAGCAAUAACCACUCAGUGUUCAAAUAGAGAAUGUAACACAUCAAUUAUGACAGGGAAGCACAAUUAUAUGUUGUAAAAACAUCAACAUAGGCUCGGAAAUGACAUAUAACUUGCUGGUGGCCUAUAGUGUAAUCAUACAUCGGAGCAGAAAACCAGUACAUCGGAAAUAACUGACAGUGUUUGGUUCGAGGGAUCAUCCAAUUCUAGACCCAUCACCACCCCAUUCCUCAAAUUAAAAAAGGACACCAUAUACUAACAGAUAUCAUAAAGCACUAGCACUAAAAGGUAACCAAUGAUCACAAAGGUAUAGCCAGUUAGCUAGUAAUACUAAACCAGCAGAAAGCACUACUCGACAAACGUACUAAGCAAUCACAAAGCACAAAGGCACAAUGCCAAUAUAGACAUGAAGUCGGAGCAAAAGAGAGGUAAUGUUUUUGGUUGUUAUGUACCCAAGGAUGCUGAUUGCAGUAUUUGCGUAGCACUUUAUUCAGCUCGGUGUGAACAAAGUCCAGCUUCCUUAUGAACGCCAACCUCUUUCCAGAAAUCCGCGCUGACACAAAUGGAGAAACGAGAGAGGAAUCCUCCUCCUUUAGCACUGACACAGGCCAUACACUGUACACUUCAUUGCUGAGGACUCUGAUUAGCUGGUCCCAAUGAGCAGCUGAGAUCAAGGAGUGAAGGUGGUCGAUCUUCUCUAGCGACAGGGACAUGAGGAAUGAUCCAAACGCAGUGUGCUGGGGGUGUUUGGCAAUCUCGGCCACAGCAGCAAAAGAGACAUUGCGUGCUAUCUUUAUGAUGGGACGACCAAGAUAUGAUGAUCUAGUUAAGUCACAGUCCAAAGAGCUAAGGAACUCCAAAGCACGGUGUUUCGACCCGAAGGUGCCCUGCACCAUGGUCACAAGUCCAUCGAGGGAACGGGACUCCAAGCGGGCCAUGGGUCUGGUGUCGAGGAUGCCUUGAGGUAAAUCAACUUCAACACCCUGUGCAAAUGGGAAGGCCACAUCGUACCAGAAUGAGUUGAGGAUAAUGUUGGACACGGGGUCCAUGAGGCCGUAGCAAUGUCCAGCGACAAGGAGAGCACGGAGGAGGCUGGGCUUGCUGGGCAGUGUGGCAAGUGCCUUGAUGUACAAGGCGUGGAUGGUGUCGAGCAGGCACAUCUUCACGGAUAUUAUGUGCUCGCAUGGGGGGACAUUAUAGUUCACCUCUGUUGCCAUGGCAGAAGCUGCGAGUGCUGAUGCCUCGAGACAUCUGGAUAGCUUGGUCUCCAUGUCCUCACAGCAGAAUACCAAGUCGGAGAUGUAGUUUUGCUGCUGAGUCUGGAAGUAAUCGCGGGUUGUCACGAUAGAGGUUUGAGCGACAAGGUCCUCCCCGAGGGAGGUUGAGAUCACAAGCACGCCAUCGUCGCCGCGGCGGGUACAAGUGCGGCCAUUUGGACGGCACCAGAAAUCUAUGUUGGCUGGCUGCGGAGUUGGCGGCCAUUGGUGUGCCAGAAGGUCCCUGAUUUCCAAGACGUCGUCCGUGGUGAGCUGCUCCUUUCCACCUUGCUGAUUUCCAAGCUUGAACAGGACAGGGGCGAGCGUGUCACGGGGGUACUCCGCCGUCAUGAGCCCCGCCAGGACGUCGGGCGCCGGGUGCUGCGCUUUGAGCGCGGCAAACCUGAGGGCUGCCUUGAGUUUGCCGCCGUCUGGGAGCAAAGGUCGCCGUUGAUUCGAGGAUCCUUGCGCGAAUCUGUCGUGGUGGACGAGCUUGACGGCGAGGGUGAGGUCUUGGGAUGCCAGGUAGAGGUAGCGCUUGGCCUGGUCAGUGCUGAGGUAGCGGAAGUAGGCAUUCAUGAAGGCGGCGAUGCCGUCGAUGGAUCGCCAGACGACAUCCCGCCACCCCUCGUACACGCGGACCCUCCCAUGUGGGGGCGGGUGCUCCCCUUGUUGGUCGUGGAGCAGCAGGCCGACGGCGUUGAGGAUGAUGUUGGUGACGGGGUCUGCGAGGCCGAAGCAGAGGCCGCCCGCGUAGAUGGCCGUCCAGCUCCGGCAUCUCCUUGAGGGGCAGCCGGCGCGCCGCCUCAUCGUAGAACUCGUCGAUCCGCGCGCGGCUGUUCUUGAACCACUUUUUGAGCGCGCCUUCGUCGAGGGUAGACCGCCUCUCCUUGUCGCCGUGGUGGAAACAGGAGAAGCUCCCCAUCCCCGGGGCGGAUCGGGAGGAUUCGACGGCGAUGAGGGCGAAAUUGCAGGGGGCUGCCAUAUUGGGGAUCGCCGGAACUCGCUCUUGAUUUCGGGGGAUUUUCCUAUCUAUCUAUCUAUCCAGUAGGUUCCGCAGAGAAUUCACUAUUUAACACUAGAAAAAUUAAUAAUUUCUUUCUCGACCCUUAGAAAAUUUUCGUUUCCUAUUUGACAUCGAGUUCAACUUUCAUUCUUUGUACGACACUAUAUUCGAUUUUCCAUCCUUGAACUGUUAAAUACCCUGUGAAAAGACGAUUUUACCCACGUGGACCUCACCACCCUUCUCCGUCCUCUCCUCUCCUUGUCCCUCUCUCCACACCAGCCUGCCGUUUGUCGUGCCCCCGCAGGAGGCUGAGCCCCGUUGACCGUCGGGCCCACGCACCACCAUGGGAGGUCGGGCGUUGUCCAGGCUGCAAGACAGUAUAUCCACCGCAACCGAACCUUCUAAUAGAUCUGCCUGAAUCCAAGUGUUGCAACUGUUGUUACAUGGCAAGCAAAAAUCCUAUUAUCCUCUUCAAAAUUCGAAACUCCUAAAACUAUAUCAAGUAGCCUAGUUGUGAAUGUUUCACCAAAAAUGAUCCCACUUGUCAAUCAUGAAAGAUAACAGAAUCCAUCAUCAACAAUAUUCAACUAGAGUUCAGGGUCUAUGAUCAAUCAAGGACAGACACAUAUGUUCAUUGCUGCCCCUUUUCUUUUUUCUAUACAUAUGCAACGCUGUUUUCUUUUUUUUUCCUUUUAUUUCCUAACAUGUUCGUUCAUUUCUUUCAGGCUAUUGCGGUGUUUACUCAGUUAUCGUAGCUGUAGAUUAGGCUCGCUAGCUACAAGCUGGAAUGGUUGGUGGAUAUGCUAUUGCAAAGUUUCAUGUGCUUGAUAUGAUUCAAAGGUACGAGGCCAUAACUCAGCUGAAAUGUGGGUACGAGCUCUUGUCUUCCUUAUAUCAUAGCCAUGAUAACAUACCCAUCGUUCUCACAAUCGUGAAGAAUCACAGGAUUCCAUAUUCGCGUGGUAGCCUUGAUCCUCGUGGUUCUGUUGGAAGUCUGAAGAUCAAAUAUUUUUUUCAUGGUUGACAAAACUGAUGUUAGCCUUAUGAAAAAAUUACUAGCAAACGGAUUUCCUCUGGUGGCUGGCAUUCGUUAUGGUGCUUUGUUCCAAUUUGUGAAUUCUAAUCAGAAGUAUUUAAUUCUAGAGAUAGGUUUGGGUUAUGCGCUGGCAUUGAUUGGAGCUGGAGUGGAGGUUAACAAGAAGACAGGCAAAAUUGAGACAUACUUCAUUGCAAGGAACUCAGCUGGAUAUAAGACACAUUCGACAUGGGAGAAGAAAGGCUUUGGUGCGGAUGUAUGCUUAUGGGCAUCAGACAUUGUUUGUGUAUGGGGGUUUCAUCUCUAGAAAGUGAAGAGGUGAGAAAGAGGACAAGGUGAAAGACUAGUAUUGCGUUUGGAGGACGAGAAGCUAAGGCAUGAAAAGAUUAUAGCACAAAAGUUUGGUUCUACGAGAAGACGUAGGUGAUGACCAAGAAUAAGUAUUCUGUUGCUUUGUAAACACUGAUUCUCUGUGUACCUGUAUGUAUCAAGCACUCUGCUAUUCUAGUUUUAAUGGUGAUAUUAUCUUUUUUAAAUGUCAUGUUCUAUGUAUGUGGUCCUUUUAAUGGUGACAUUAUAUGUUUAACUAUCAUGUUUUAUGUUUGUGGUCCUUGCAAUAACAAGUGUUUCUACUAUCAAUUUUUUUUGGAUGUUAUUCAAUGCCCAUUUUGAGGCAUACUCCUUGUGAUAUGCACAUUUGAAUAUGUUGGAUUGGUAAGGGUAUAAAAUAAUUUGACAUCGGGGAAGGAUUGAAGGAAAGUAGCCAAUGCACUAUAUCUCUCCGUAAUUUUCAUCCUGGCUGACUUGUGGAUUCAUAUCUGUGUUGUCCUGUAUUUACUUUUGUCUUGUAUUUACUUGGAUUGGAAGGAUGGUUUGAUACACAUGUGAAAGCUUCAUAUUUAUAAUCACCUGCCCUCCUUUCCCUUCUGAAUUUUUAAGGGUAGUAUUAUGUUUGUAGAUUAGGAUUAUUAUAGUUCAAUUGCUAUCUAUGAAAAAGUCUUGCCUCACCUUACUAACUUAACAGACAUGGUUCAUGGCUAAUGUUGAAAUAUGUAAUGCAUACAUGGAAUAUUCUAAAAGAUUGUGAAGAUCUCAAGAGACUAACUUUGUCAUUUAUAAGGAUAAGAUCAUGGCAAGGUAAGAAGGUUCUAGAAAAUUGAAGAGAAUGCAUGAGCCAUAGUCAUGCUUCAUGAUAAAGUGUAGAAUACUCUAAAACUAGAUAUUUUAGUAUGGUAGAAAUAUAAGGAACUAGAUAAGGAUGAGGAGGAUUCUAGAGUUAGGAUAUUUUGUAAGGAAGAGUAUGGAAGUUGCCACAUGGCAACACCACAAUGAUCAUGAGCACCUAUAAAUAGAGGUGCUCCCCUCCCUCCUAGCCAUACCAUGACAUAAGAUCGAAAUUGGAGCUCAAAGCUGACAUAUAUCAUAUCCAGCCUCAAACAAGAGCUAGAAAAGUUCAUAUAAAUAGUACUCCCAAACUAAGAUACAAGGACAUAAAUAAAAUUUUUGUAAACAACCACAUUGCCUAUACAUAAACAGUUCGAUCAGCUAGUGCGUCACUUGUACUCUUCAUCUAAUAAUGAGUCUUGCAAAAAUUCACAUUUCUCAGCCACUAAACUGCUACAGUCUAAAAUUUAGUUUAAAACUGAGCAUGAAACAUUAUAAUGCAGUGGUCAUAAUAAUAAAAGAAACCAUCCACCUGAAAAAUCAAUCAGCAAUUCAGUCCCUAAACCUUGCCUCAACCAUAUUGUCCAUGUAUAAACACAUCAAUUCAAUGUCGCAUAUUUAAGCACUUGGUACCCAGCAAAUAAACACUUGAUUAAUCAUGCAUGACCACCUUACAGAAAAUGAGCCUAGAAGCCGAUUACAAGCUAGAGCAUCUGGAUUUUCAACUCAUAUCUGCCAACAACAAGAAAUGAUGUUAGAAAUUCUGGUGCUUAAUGACAAGUUAACUAUACUCAGCAGAAUGCAAUUUGAAAACCACAACUAACAUGAUGUUGAUUGAGUGCCAAACUUGCUAACUUCCCUUUUCAACCACAUAACAUGGAGUCUUGGUUCAUAGCCUAGAAACAACUGUCGAUUGAAUGUAUCUACUAGCACUCAAGAAAAUAAACUCAGAAGUUGUUUACCUAUGAAAUAUUGGCUUUGUAGUCUGCAGAAAGUUUAAUCAAAAAGCUUCUGUUCAGUGUAUUCAGAUGCUCAUUAAUAAUAGGAGCAAUUUUUCCAGGGUACUUGUUCGAAAAUGCAGCCACUGAUGUGAUGAAAUACUCUUUUGGAUCUUUAAUUUUCAGCGGAUCAUAUUCAUUGUUCCCAGCAUAUUGAAGACGUACAACUGAGACAUCAUCCAUCACUUGUACUACCCCUUGAUUCAUUUUCUACAACAGUGGUACUGUACUAUUAAGUAACUUGCCCCAAGAAUGGGGAUCUUCCUUCAGAAAGUUAGUUUCACAAAUCAACUUUGUUGAAGCAACUGCUGCAAGUUUAGAUUCACGAGCCCCUUCAAUCGAAUCAAGAUAGCGGAUCCAAAAAUGCUCAAGAAAUGUUGUGAAAUACCGCUCCGCUCUUCUGUCAAUUUCUUGGAUGGACUCAACAAAUUCUUGACUUCCGUAUUUGGUGACAAAUAAGGACACAGCGACAAUAAGGGACUUUGCAAACUUCACUUCCCACCUGCUCUGCCGCAGAACCCAAAGCCGAGGGAACAGAACACCCCAUGUGUCGCUAAUGUGAAGCCUUAGAAAGUCUAAACCAGCUUGUUCCACUAGUAAGCUAAGCAUGGCAAAUGCAGUAUAUGUGGUGCUAACAUUCAAAACCAGAGUACAGAACUUCUGUAAGACAAUUUUCAAUUUAUCAUGAUCAUUUUUUAUUUUACAAAGGAAUGCUCGAAGCAAACAAGAACAGGCAUGGGCGCAGGCUGGUUGCUCCCAAGUGGCACUGCUGAGAAGCAAAUCAAAUAGGUUCAUGUACUCAUGGGAGAGGGGAGGUUGGCAUAGGUCAAUGAGUUGUGAAAAUAUCAUAAAACCAUAUGGAAGGAGAUCUGAUAUGUCCUCGGACAAAAUUCUGAACAACACUGGGAGGAGCAUACCUUCAAACACACAGAGGGGUGCUGGGCCUUGCUCAUUGGCCCGGCCAAUCACUGCUGCCAGGGCCUCGAACAAGUAUCCGUUGAAUUCAGGGUUCUUUGAGUUAUUGCACACUUGAUUGAGAAUACCAGCCAGAAGAGCAGUUGUGUCACGAAUAGUUUGGCCAGCUAUAUUAGCAAUCCCAAGCACCUGUGCCAUGCACUUCGUCAGGUAUGGGUUGUCAUACAAAUCAGGAAGUUUCAGCAGGUUCGAAAUGACCUCAGCAGCAAUCAGAUCGAUACUAUUAGCAUCAUAACGUUGAGAACUGGCCACUUGGUUGACCCCUGGUGCUUGGACUGUAUCCUUCAUCAUCAACUGCUUAUCAGUAAAGACCGCAGCAUAGGAUCGAACAACAUGGGAUUCGUGUGCUAGGAACUUCACCGCCUUUUGAAGCAGGACCUGUGCAUUUUGUUUGGGUAUUUGAUCAUUGAACUCCUUUAAGAACCACAGGACGGUUGAUUUCAGAAUUUUCUGUGACCGGCAACUGGUGUAGUCAAGCAUAAGCUCAAUGUCACAAAGAAAACCGGCAUUUGUGCCAAGAUCGCCAACGACAGAAAUAGCAACAUAAAUUGCAGCAAUAGCUUCCUUCCAGUGGUUUGUCGGGUCAUUUUUAUAUUCCAUCAUAAUCUUACCAUAACAUGUCUUCGCCCAUGCAAACACCCUCUGAUUGUAAUUCACCUUAAGGCUCUCCAAUAGCUGGCAUGCAGCCCAUCUUGGUGCAUUAGCAACAGCCCAUUCCGAGAGUCACGCUUGACAAACUCUUUCCAAUUUUCCUGAAACAGCUUUUCAUCUUCAUCCCGUAACAGCAGGUUGGACAUGAUGACACCAUCACAUAUCUGAUCCAUUUUACUUCCUACAGACGCAUGGUGCGCACUCUUGGCAACUGUAGUCAAGAACCUUAACGCUGCCACCGCGAGCUUG